rnacentral:sRNA from 1 species
UUGAGGAUGAUGAAGAACCUCUGCCAGAAUCUGAUGGAUCCAUUGCCUGAGCAUCUGAUCUGCUACUUGAUUCAA